GGUCCCCUGGCGGAACGGCAGACGCAGCAGACUUAAAAUCUGCUCUCCUAUGGGAGGUCCGGGUUCGAGUCCCGGGGGGACCACCA
rnacentral:tRNA from 1 species